GAAGGGACUUCCGGUUAUCGAGUCGGGCCUUCGGUCGCGUGGGUUAGCGGAUGUGCUUCUUUCUAGGGUUUUCUGCCUCAGGAAGCCGAAGCCCCUGGGCACCCCACUUACCCUAAGCACCCAGUAGGUUCGACUUCGCGAACCGGGGGAUCAUCACCAUUUUACUCGAGGAGGAGGCAGCCUGGGCAAGUCCAUCUCCCCACGUCGCAGUUGGAGCCCUUACCCGCCCACUUCCCCAGGGGCCCAGUUCUUGUCGAGGUCCUCAAAAAAAAAUAGUGACAAAUUCUCGUCCAGUUCUUGGAGGAUGGAAGCCACACUCAGGCGUUUUCAUCUGACAUCCUGAUCGCGGGUGUCUAAUCAGUAUUGAGACUGUAAAGUGCAGAAGAGGUUCCCGUGGAGUCUUAGGACUUGCAGUUCCGAAGACUCAGGUUCGGGUGAACCCGAAGUGUGUUCCAAAGAACGGAGCCAAGGGAUUGGGUUUAAGAAAGAAAAACCCCCAAAACAUUUGGUGCAGGCAAGCGUCAAAGUCCAUAGUCAAUUGAUCAACUUGCGGCAUCGCUGUGGGUGGUCUGUAGGCUCCAUUUCCCUCGUAGAAUUUACCGUGAAUUCACUUGAUUAAGAACUGGCCUACUCUGGUGUCUUUGGCCACAAACUAGUUAGGGUUCUGUGGGGAGAAACAAACAAAAGCAACAACAACAGAAACCCUACUUCACCUCCUGGGAAGAACGUUUCAAUUGUAAUGGGAAGCUUAACCACUGAACCACAUCUCCAGACUGUUGGCAACAGAUCCACCUUGGCCCCUGGAGCCCUACCUCCACUAGUUUGUUCUGCAUGCCAGUGUGGCCAGCUCACAAGGCCAUGGCGAACUUGCGGUUUUUCUGUUCCUGCUUAUCCGUCUGAGACAUAUGUAUCCCACGGGAAUGCCUUGACCUUUUCUGGUCUGAUGGACUUCUUGUUAAGGGAGGUUUCGGUACCUGACAAUAAUAGAUGUUGAAACUAAAUUUCUCCCCCCUCCCUCCUGCUUUUGGGUAGUUUUCCACUUCUGCUGCUUGGGGUAUUAAAAAAGGUGUGUUAGCAAUAAAGAUUAUUGACUCCUGGAUGAAGAA